rnacentral:rRNA from 1 species
GAUGAACGCUGGCGGCGUGCUUAACACAUGCAAGUCGAACGGAAAGGCCCAAGCUUGCUUGGGUACUCGAGUGGCGAACGGGUGAGUAACAUGUGGGUGAUCUGCCCUGCACUUCGGGAUAAGCCUGGGAAACUGGGUCUAAUACCGGAUAGGACCACUUCUUGGAUUUUGUGGUGGAAAGUUUUUUCGGUGUGGGAUGAGCUCGCGGCCUAUCAGCUUGUUGGUGGGGUAAUGGCCUACCAAGGCGUCGACGGGUAGCCGGCCUGAGAGGGUGUACGGCCACAUUGGGACUGAGAUACGGCCCAGACUCCUACGGGAGGCAGCAGUGGGGAAUAUUGCACAAUGGGCGCAAGCCUGAUGCAGCGACGCCGCGUGGGGGAUGACGGCCUUCGGGUUGUAAACUCCUUUCGCUAGGGACGAAGCGUUUUGUGACGGUACCUGGAGAAGAAGCACCGGCUAACUACGUG